rnacentral:rRNA from 1 species
GACGAACGCUGGCGGCGUGCUUAACACAUGCAAGUCGAACGGAAAGGCCCUGCUUUUGUGGGGUGCUCGAGUGGCGAACGGGUGAGUAACACGUGAGUAACCUGCCCUUGACUUUGGGAUAACUUCAGGAAACUGGGGCUAAUACCGGAUAGGAGCUCCUGCUGCAUGGUGGGGGUUGGAAAGUUUCGGCGGUUGGGGAUGGACUCGCGGCUUAUCAGCUUGUUGGUGGGGUAGUGGCUUACCAAGGCUUUGACGGGUAGCCGGCCUGAGAGGGUGACCGGCCACAUUGGGACUGAGAUACGGCCCAGACUCCUACGGGAGGCAGCAGUGGGGAAUAUUGCACAAUGGGCGGAAGCCUGAUGCAGCAACGCCGCGUGCGGGAUGACGGCCUUCGGGUUGUAAACCGCUUUCGCCUGUGACGAAGCGUGAGUGACGGUAAUGGGUAAAGAAGCACCGGCUAACUACGUGCCAGCAGCCGCGGUGAUACGUAGGGUGCGAGCGUUGUCCGGAUUUAUUGGGCGUAAAGGGCUCGUAGGUGGUUGAUCGCGUCGGAAGUGUAAUCUUGGGGCUUAACCCUGAGCGUGCUUUCGAUACGGGUUGACUUGAGGAAGGUAGGGGAGAAUGGAAUUCCUGGUGGAGCGGUGGAAUGCGCAGAUAUCAGGAGGAACACCAGUGGCGAAGGCGGUUCUCUGGGCCUUUCCUGACGCUGAGGAGCGAAAGCGUGGGGAGCGAACAGGCUUAGAUACCCUGGUAGUCCACGCUGUAAACGGUGGGUACUAGGUGUGGGGUCCAUUCCACGGGUUCCGUGCCGUAGCUAACGCUUUAAGUACCCCGCCUGGGGAGUACGGCCGCAAGGCUAAAACUCAAAGGAAUUGACGGGGCCCCGCACAAGCGGCGGAGCAUGCGGAUUAAUUCGAUGCAACGCGUAGAACCUUACCUGGGUUUGACAUGGAUCGGGAGCGCUCAGAGAUGGGUGUGCCUCUUUUGGGGUCGGUUCACAGGUGGUGCAUGGCUGUCGUCAGCUCGUGUCGUGAGAUGUUGGGUUAAGUCCCGCAACGAGCGCAACCCUUGUUCACUGUUGCCAGCACGUUAUGGUGGGGACUCAGUGGAGACCGCCGGGGUCAACUCGGAGGAAGGUGGGGAUGACGUCAAGUCAUCAUGCCCCUUAUGUCCAGGGCUUCACGCACGCUACAAUGGCUGGUACAGAGAGUGGCGAGCCUGUGAGGGUGAGCGAAUCUCGGAAAGCCGGUCUCAGUUCGGAUUGGGGUCUGCAACUCGACCUCAUGAAGUCGGAGUCGCUAGUAAUCGCAGAUCAGCAACGCUGCGGUGAAUACGUUCCCGGG